UGUCCAUGUGAUUGAUUUCACCUGGGCCCCACCUGCCUGGUGUGUCCUAUGUCCAUGUGAGUUGAUCUCACCUGGGCCCCACCUGCCUGGCGUGUCCUAUGUCCAUGUGAUUGAUCUCACCUGGGCCCCACCUGCCUGGUGUGUCCUAUGUCCAUGUGAGUUGAUCUCACCUGGGCCAGGUCUUCCCCUUUCCACUGUCAUGGCCCUGGUUCAGAUUCUGGGCCCCUCUUGCUCUGCAGCACCCUCUCGAUGUCACGCCCCGUCCCCUGGCUUGGCCCUUUCCAGCCCGCUCGUCACAGGGAGAGUUUGCGCCUUCUCCGAAGCUCAGGAGCCUGUGGGACUGGCCUCGUGUACCCUGUGAAGUGUUGGCUUUAUCUCAAGGACACUCAUGGUUUGCUUCAAGCCAUCUUUUUAGCCUGCUUUCAUACUUUCCCCAUCUACAUAGUGCGUAUUUGGUUUACUGGGCAUUUUUGGUUCUUGGAGCAGUCAUGUAGUUGGUGCUGUCCUGCCGGAGCAGAAGCUCUGCGGGUCCUUUCCCCAGCUCCCCUGCUGUUAAGAAGUCAGCACAUUCUUCCUCCUCUCCUUUUGAUUACCUGGCUGAGUGCUCAGUGAGAUCAUUUCAUUUGCUCCUAGCGUCCCUUAGCUAGCUGAUCUCUCCCUGGGGUGUGCACUCCCGGGGACGGGGAACCUGCUGUCUUUCUUUCCCUGUAAGUCUGUGUGGAGCUGAACGACUUGACAUUGCCUUUUCUGAAGGUUUAGUAACGCAGGCAGAGUGAGAGCCAGCAGUUAGAGGACUGCUGCUUCUCUUCACGAGAUGGAAUCGCGCUGCGUGGUGUCAGGAAGGGUCUUCCUCACAGGAUGAUGGCUGCUUAGGCAGUGUCUGUGUGCUGGGGGAGUGGAGUGAAAUCUGGGCAUGUGGUGGAGGAGUGGCAGACCCCCGGCCUGGCGUGAGUCUCUGAGCCUUGGCUUCCUAAUCUGUGGAGAAGGGAUGGCAGUGACUGUGUGUCCUGAGUUUGCACAGUCCUGGAUACCUGUCACUGCUGCCGCCGUCCUCUCGGGUCUAGGCAUGCCCACGAGCUGCCGGCAUUCAAACCAAGGCACCUUGCAGCUUCUGUCCGCCUGACUUUUAUGGUGCUGGCUUCUGUACCCGGAUGGAGGGUGGUAGCAGACCCCGAGUUUUCUUUGUAAAAGCUUUUUGAAAAUUCAAGUUGAAGCAUUUAAAAAAUUUGUUUGUGUAUUUAUGUAAGAGGCUGAGUAACAGAAAAAAGAGAGAGAAAUCUUCCAUCCAGUGGCUCACUCCCCAAAUGCCUGCAACAGCCAGGGCUGGCCAGGCCAAAGGUAGGAGCCCAGAGUUCCUGUGGGUCUCCCGUGUGGGUGGCAGGGACGCAUGCACUUGAGCCAUCACCUGCUGCCUCCCAUGGUGCACGUGAGCAGGAAACCAGAUCUGUGGCAUGGGGCAGCCGAGACUUGAACCAGACUCUCCAGUGUGGGAUGCGGGUGUCCCAAGCAGCAGCUUAACGUGCUGCACCACAAUGCCUGCCGCAGUUUGAAGGAUUUUAAUGAUAAAUUUUAGCUUAUAAAUUAUGUAUGUUCCUUUUAGAAAUCUUGAAAAAUAUAAAUGGAUAGGAAAAAAAUAAUUCCUCAUCCUGCAUCCUAACUGCAUAGACAGGCACACUUAACAUUCUAUGUGUCUAUUUAGUAUUGUUUAUUCGUUUAAAAAUUGGAUUGAUUUUAAAAAUUGAAUUUAUUUUAUAAAUCUGUAUUCUGAUUUUUGAAGCAGCAUAAGCCUUUUCCAUAUUAUGAAGGUUUUUUUUUUAAUGUCACUUUUAUUUUUUUUUUUAAAGGUUAUUCAUUUGAGAGGCAGAGUUAGAGAGGAAGAGACAGAGAGAGAGGUCUUUCAUCCACUGGUUCACUCCCCAAAUGGCUGCAACAGCUGGAGCUGGGUUGAUCCAAAGCCAGGAGCCAGGAGCUUCCUCCAGGUCUCCCACAUGGAUGCAGGGGCCCAAGAACUAGGGCUAUCCUCCAUUGCUUUCCUAGGCCAUUAGCAGGGAACUGGAUUGGAAGUGGAAUAGCCAGGACUUGAACUGGUGCCCGUAUGGGAUUACAGCACUGUAAGUGGAGGCUUAACCUGCUAUACUAUGGCACUGGCUCCUAAAUGUCACUUUUAAUCACUGCAUCUGUUUGGAAUGUUUUUGUGCCAUAGUUUUUUUUUUUUUUUUUGGACAGGCAGAGUGGACAGUGGGAGAGAGAGACAGAGAGAAAGGUCUUCCUUUGCCGUUGGUUCACCCUCCAAUGGCUGCUGCGGCCGGCGCACCGCGCUGAUCCGAUGGCAGGAGCCAGGUGUUUCUCCUGGUCUCCCAUGCGGGUGCAGAGCCCAAGCACUUGGGCCAUCCUCCACUGCACUCUCGGGCCACAGCAGAGAGCUGGACUGGAAGAGGAGCAAUCGGGACAGAAUCUGGCGCCACAACUGGGACUAGAACUUGGGGUGCCGGCACCGCAGGUGGAGGAUUAGCCUAUUGAGCUGUGGCACCGGCCUGUGCCAUAGGUUUUAUAACCACCAGUUCAUAGUCAAUAGUAUUCUAAAAUUAUUUUUAUUAAAGAUUUUUUUUAUUGGGGCCUGCCUGCACUGUGGCACAGUGGAUUACGCCACCAUCUGCAAUGCCACCAUCCCAUAUGGGCACCCAUUGGAGUCCCAGCUGCUCCAGUUCCAAUCCAGCUCCCUGUUAAUGUGCCUGGGAAGAUGGCCGAGGUGUUUGGGCCCCUGGAUCCACAUGGGAGACCUGCAAGAAGCUCCUGACUCCUGGCUUCAUACUAGCCCAGCCCUGGCUGUUGUGGCCAUAUGGGGAGUGGACCAGCGGAUGGAAGCUCUCUAUCUAUCUCUCCCUCUCUCUCUGUAAUUCUGACUUUCAAGUAAGUAAAUGAACAAACGUUAAAAAAAGAGAUUUCUUCAUUUAUUUGAAAGGCAGAGUUAGAGAGGAAGAAAGAGAGGAAGAGCUCUUCCGUCUGCUUACUCACUCUCUGAAUGGCUGCAGUGUCCAGGCCAGGCAGAAGUCAGGAGCCUGGACCUGCAUCUGGGGCUCCCUUGUGGGUGGCAGGGGUCCAAGGACCUGGCUGUCUCCCACUGUUUUCCUGGUGCAUUAGCAGAGAGCUGGAUCAGAAGUGGAGCAGCCGGACUGCAACCGUGCUCAUGUGGGAUGGUGGCAUUGCAGGCAGUGGUUUAAUUCGCUGUGCCAUGCUGCCAGCCCCAAGUCUUUGUUACUAAGGUAGUUUCUCCAUCUGGAUAUUAUGUUAAGAUCCGUAGAAAUACUUAAUUUCCUAGUAGUGCUUCUCACAGAUGAUUAUGUAAUAAGCUGACAACUUCACGUGAUUGCCUUGCAGUUUGGUGGAACAUGUUUAUGCACUUGAAAGGAACAAGGAAAAUAUUUAGUCUCUUGAUCUACUUGAAUGAUUGCUUCUCAGGGCCUGCAGCCUGUCGUAUGUAAAUGAAGUGAUCGCAGACAGGAGCCGCUGCUGCCGGGAGGGAGGGAGGCAGGGCUCAUCCCUGUUUACCAGUGUUCCGCGAGGGUGCAGGUGUGUCGCGGCCUGUCUUCACGGUGGUGGCACGCGUCUUCCUCACUUCGUGUGGUGGGACCGCCACGCCACAAGGACAUAUGUGCAGAGUCCAGGAGAGCCGAGUGGAUUUUUCUUGCCCAUGUAAGGUGCUGAACUCGCUGGCUGUGGUGGGUUGGCUGUUUCAGGAUAUCUGUGUUUUCUUCCACACUUUACAAGUUGGGGCACCGCGGGUGGGCAGUGUGACAAAAGGAAAAGCGGAGCUCAUGGCUCCGAGUCUGAAGAACCUCAGGAACCCCGUGAAAGCCAUGUCACCUUUCCAGGUCUGUGAAGUGGGCGCUGUGAUGCCCAGGGAUGCACUGUGCACUGGGACUGGAACGGGCUUGACGGGCUGGCCUAGAACCUCAGCUCUGCUCACGAGCUGUGUGACCUUGGGAAAGGGACUGGGUGUCUCGGGGCCUAGUUGGAUGGUCCCUUGUGUGGGGCUGGGGAUGGUUUUGUACUCCGUGGGCGAGUGCAAAUUCUGUGUGAGGCAGAGCCGGGGAAGCCCCUGGUGGUACACUCAUCCUGGGGGUCCUGCCUGGGUACCCACUGAGCAGCGCUCAGGACCGAGGAGCCCUGCUGCUCAUCCUGCUCCCACCCAACUCUUCGUGUUGCCUGGGGUCCUGCACCUGCUGUUUGCUUUGGAGAUGACAAAUGACCACACCUCCUUCCCGUCACAUUCAUGCCCAUUUCUCUUCUUUCCAGAGAACAACCCCCCCCACUGUUGUCCUUUUUUUUUUUUUUUAAAGAUUUAUCUUAUUUAUUUAAAAGACAG